CCCUUAGAUGUUCUGGGCCGCACGCGCGCUACACUGAUGCAUUCAACGAGUCUAAAACCUGCUCUGAUAGGGGUGGGUAAUCUUUUGAAUGUGCAUCGUGAUUGGGAUAGAUGAUUGCAAUUUUUCAUCUUCAACGAGGAAUGCCUAGUAAACGCAAGUCAUCAGCUUGCAUUGAUUACGUCCCUGCCCUUUGUACACACCGCCCGUCGCUCCUAACGAUUGAAUGAUCCGAUGAAUAUCAUGGAUUGAGGAUGCAAGUAGGUUCGCCUAUCUUCAUCUUCGAGAAGUGAAGUAAAUCUUAUCAUUUAGAGGAAGGAGAAGUCGUAACA
rnacentral:rRNA from 1 species